rnacentral:rRNA from 1 species
UACGGGGGGGGCAAGCGUUGUUCGGAAUUACUGGGCGUAAAGGGCUCGCAGGCGGCCAACUAAGUCAGACGUGAAAUCCCUCGGCUUAACCGGGGAACUGCGUCUGAUACUGGUUGGCUUGAAUCCGGGAGAGGGAUGUGGAAUUCCAGGUGUAGCGGUGAAAUGCGUAGAUAUUCGGAAGAACACCAGUGGCGAAGGCGGCUCACUGGUCCGGUACUGACGCUGAGGUGCGAAAGCGUGGGGAGCAAACAGG